UGCCAGAACAAGAAUUCUUUUUCUUUUCAGUUGGAAAAUGGAGGAAACAGGAGAACGAGACCAUUUUUGACCAACGACAACGUAAUGUAGAAAUAGAUUGAAUACAGCCAAUGCCCAGUUGUGUUGCAGAUGACUGUCAUAGGAUUGUGCACAGAAAUAGGGUAAGGCUCUGUUCAGCUGCUUCCAGAGUGGCCAGAGAUAGACAAGACAAGGCACUCCAGCCAACUGAAAGGCUUUCCAUCUGCCCUCUCCUUUGCUUGGAAAUAACCAGCCAGACCAACGGUUUCAGCUUUGUUCGUUUUUUUUUCUUUGUCAUUCUGAUCUGAAGCAGAGGCUGACAUGAAACAAACAUGGCAUUUCCUUUUGAAAAUUGGAUUCUGAAAUUAGCUUCAUCUUUCCAGAAGCACAGUGCUAUUGCAAUUCCUUCCCAAUGUUUUGAAUGUCAUAAAGAGUUUGCAUAUAAAGCUCCAAAUCUGGAAGCAAUUACCACAUUCUUUUUUUGCAGUAUUUUAUGGGGAGGUGUUUGGUUUUUGGUAAUCAUGAAGGGAUAUGUUGCAGUGGUUUGAAUGGAAAUGGUUUUGUCUCUUGAGAAAGACAUGAAGAAGAAAGGGGAACAAAUUAAUGAAAAAUACUGUCAGCUUCUUAUUAGCAAAUUUUAAGAGGACAUAGGAAAAUGUGGAUUCAUGCAAAUGUAGAACUUCAUUAGUAUCACUGAUGAGCUAUAGUUUACAAUAAAUGGC
rnacentral:lncRNA from 1 species